ensembl:lncRNA
UGGCAAGCAGCCAAGAGGAGCUACCCCUCGUUCAAGACAAGGAGCAGAGGCUGCACUUUGCUGGAACAGCCAUGAAGAGAUACCCCACAUCCAAGCCACUUGCAGUUCCCAAUGGGCUCUGGGAGAAAGCAAGAGUGAAGUGAGGGCUCUCCUUCUCUGCUGCAGUUCCUGGAGGAAGCGGCCGACAAGAUUCUUGAGGUCUUUCCGGGAAUAUGGACGCACAUACAAACACCGUGAUCAUGGGCUGUUUUUAUUUUCACCAAAUGGCACCAAGGAG